rfam:Penicillium oxalicum 114-2 unplaced genomic scaffold scaffold_5, whole genome shotgun sequence.
UCAAAUGAUGAGAGAAUUUGAUUAGCUCUAGAUCAGGAGUCACUCUUUUGUGACGUUGACGGAUUAACAUGUAUUAUCUGAUCG